UCCAGGCUGGAUGUCCAGGGAGCCGGUACAGUGGCGCGCCUCUUGGCGUCUCCAACAGAACGGGAACCAGUACUGUUGUCUUCCCUCACUGUGGACUGGUUUUAUAGCCCCAGGAUCAAGCCGCUGUUGCUGAGCAGCCAGCGUCAGUCCCCACGUGGGUACCCGACCCUCCUCCGCCCCCUCCCCGCCCCACUCCCUCCCCUCUCCAAGUCUCUUCUCUCUCUUCUUUCUCCAUCUCUGCUCUCUCCGCUCCCUCUCUCCCUUCCCCCUUCCCCUUCUCUCUCUCUCUCUCUCUCUCUCUCUCUCUCUCUCUCUCUCUCUCUCUCUCUCUCUCUCUCUCUCUCUCUCUCUCUCUCUCUCUCUCUCUCUCUCUCUCUCUCUCUCUCUCUCUCUCUCUCUCUCUCUCUCUCUCUCUCUCUCUCUCCCUCUCCCCCCCAGCACCUUUUCUACACCAGCUUCCUAGCUGCACAGAGUUACCAACACCCUUGGGAUCACCCCACCCCCUGCACCCCCGCUGGGGACCGGACCUUCGGAGAGUUGUUUGGGCACUGGGCAAAACCAGAAGUGUUCAGUUCGAUCCAGGGCGUCUCGGCUGUUCACGCACCGAGGAUCCCCAGCGGUCAGAGAAGAGGGAAACGCCCCUCCAACUUGUGGCUGGAACAGGCACCUUCUGGACAUCUCCACCUAAGCUGGACCAGGCAACUGGGUGUUGGAUGCUGGGCGAGGUCUGGAGGUCCGAGACCACUGCCUCUGCUCUGCUUUCCCUGCCUGGGGAAGGGACCGAGGGAAGAGAGAGUCGCGGAGAAAGUGCUGAUUAGAAGCUGCGAAAACUGGCAGGAACAACCCACCCCGCAGGGCUGGGGGGAUUGA
rnacentral:lncRNA from 1 species